CGUCAGGCUGGAACUGGGGGCAUUUCGCACAUUACUCAUACGGGAACGCCCACGGGCACGAGGCUGAUCACAUUCACAAAGGACCAUGAUGAAAUCCCGUCAGUUACAAUUUACGACCCAGAGGUGAUUCACCACUUAUGGGCCAUGUUCCAAUCCCAUCCGAUGAAAAUGACUGCUACAGUCGAAUUCACUAGGCCAAAUAGCAACUUACCUUCCCGGAGCCAAUCAGCAAAAUUUAACAGGAAGAAGCACAGUUACAGUCCUUAACGCUAGUAAUCCAGGACCACACGUAAAAUACACUCUACUACACUAUAAUAUACUACUCCACUAUACUAUAGUAACUUAAACUUACUACCCACAGGCCACACUCAAAUAUACUCCAUUAUAUAGAAUACUAUAGUAUAGUACAUUUACUAUCCAGAGGCCACACUCAAAUAUACUCCACUACACUAUAUAUAAUAUAGUAUAGUUAAUUUACUGUCCAGAGGCCACACUCAAAUAUACUCCACUACAGAAAAUUGACACUGCAGGGGUCAGGGGUCAUACUCAAAUACACUAUAUCAUCAUACUAUAGUAAGUGUACUAUCUGGAACCACGGUCAAUACCCUCCACUAUAUUAUAGUAAAUCUCCACCACUCAAAUACACUCCACUAUACUGGGGACUCAGUGGGCCAUGCGCUAAUUGAACAUUAAUUAGUAAAUGUAUCCAAUUAAGACGACGUACACAAGACCACAUUACUUCUGCAUUUGCACUUUAUCCGUCUUCAUUCUGUCCGAGGCUUAAAGUUACAUCUUGAAUUUAAAUUUUUUUCUGUCAGUCAUGGCAAUUUUUAUUUAUUUAUUUAUUUAUUUAUUUAUUUAUUUUGGGGGGGGGGACGGGGGACGGACAAACACCACACUCAAAUCCACUCCACUGGGCCAAACCAAAACAUUCCUUGCUAGCUAGAUGCCGUCGUUCUUGAGGGUGAUGUGCGUCUGCGGAGAAGUUUACACGAUCUUAAAAUGGAAUCUUGAAAUGCAUACAUAAUAAGGGUGAGAGGAUUAAAUAAUCAUCCCGUGUCGCUGCUGUGGCAACAUCUGGAGAUGUGUCACGGGGAACACGUGUGCGAGUGGCUCAGAGGGAACGUUUAAUUACACGGCAUUAGUGUUUCUAUGAGGUUCCGGCCAGCUGAGCUUCUCUGGAAACAUCAUCAUCUCCAUUAGUCAUGUGAUGUACCAUCACAAUCCACACACACACACACGGCUGAAGGAGUAAAUUUCCAUAAUUCCACCUGGAUCAGGUCCUAACCAUCAAUUCGAAAGCCUCCAUUUGGUUUGGAU
ensembl:lncRNA